CAUCGGCGGCUCGAGUGGUGGCCACUUUUAUUGGGUCUAAAGCGUCCGUAGCCGGCUUGGCAAGUCCCCUGGGAAAUCUGGCGGCUUAACCGUCAGGCGUCCAGAGGAUACUGCCAGGCUUGGGACCGGGAGAGGUGAGAGGUACCUCAGGGGUAGGGGUGAAAUCUUGUGAUCCCUGAGGGACCACCAGUGGCGAAGGCGUCUCACUAGAACGGGUCCGACGGUCAGGGACGAAAGCUGGGGGCACGAACCGG
rnacentral:rRNA from 1 species